GUUGAGGAUGUAAGUUGACUUUGCUGUCGUGGAUUGUUCUGCGGUCGACGGGGUAGAUUCUCGCGACACAUGCACGAUAACAUACGUAUUUGGGCUUAUUUUGCCUCGAUGGGUACUCUGUGAUGGUAUAUACACUAGCUUGUGCGUAAUUUGAUAUGCCUAUGAGCGAUUUUGGUGUGUUGGGUGGUUACGUUGCCAUGAUCUACUAUAAACGUAGUAGUGAUGUGUAUAAAUAUAUAUCCAUAUUGUAGUUGAAAACAAUAUCAAACGACCAAACGCGUACAACAUGUCCAGAAGGUACCACAGAAAGGUAAAAACUAGUAGUAUUACCCUAGGCACCAUAGUAAACGUACCCGAGCCAUCAUUAAGCAUGAAGAACGAGAUGGUUCAACCGACCGUGAGCGCCAAUAUAAAAAUCGAUUUUACGAUCGCUGCGCGGAUACAUCAUACAAAUCGCAGCCGUCAUGCCAAUAUCCGGCGACAGCCCACCAAAAAUUCCCGAAAACGCGCCUAAAAUGGAUAUAUAAUGAUACUAGGCUAUAUAGCUAUAAUAAAAAUAAGUUCAAUGCCAAAGAAAUACAAGCGAAUAUCGCGACAUCACAUUGAAGACAGAAAAAUCGUCGUCGCUCAGCGUUGAUGCCUCAGGCAUGAAAAGUCACUACAUCUUGGCGUCGUUGAGAUGGUCGGGACCAUGAAUUGGGACGGGCGCGUAUGCGUCGAUGCAUCAACGAGGUUUGGGUGUGGUUGUUCAUACCACGAAGUUCAUUACGAUUGCCCUGUAAUAUGGCAUAGAUCAAAUAUCCACCAAUCACCAACAACGAGAAAUUAAGGCAGGCAUAGCACAAUUUUGCUUCGUACUCAUUGACCGGACGGUAUCCGAACGCGUUCGGGCGAAACCAUGACGCGACUAUGAACCUACGAGCGAACGCCAUUUAUCGAGUUUGCAACCACGUAUCAGGUUUUACAAAUGUCAAGUAUGUGCUGCUGUCACUCACCUCACGAUUGUACGGACAUAAGCUUCGUUCCGGAUAUCGCACCGCCUUCGUCGACCAUUGCCUGUUGGGAGCUGUACAGACACGCCAGAUGAUCGCGCACAUCGAAUCCAGAACUGUACGAGACGAAGAUAGUGCAUGGACACAAGAUUGGAAUGGAAGACAGUCCAACGGAUUGCUUGCACCUACUUUCCGAGAUGCGACAUAGCCAUCUAUCGUACGCCGAUCCUGACGUAUGACCUCUUUCGAGCAGAAAUGUCUCGACAAGCCCGAAAAGAAGGAUCACCCGAAGGUGCGGGCAGCUCCGAGACGGCUAUAUCGAGGAGGACAAAUAGAAAGAAGCAGGGUGCGUGUCGCUCGCAAGAAACCGGCCUUCGAGUGAAUCAUCUCGCAUUAACAAAGACUGGCGUUAAAAUGCCCACUCUGACCCCUCACAUCAGCCCAGUUCAUGACCGGGAAGGAUGGUCUUCGUUUCCCUAUGCUAGCCUCUGGAUUUCUCGGGCAGUAUGACAAGAUCAUCCUUCCUGUGCACGUCAAGAUACUCCUGCUCUCCAAAAGUCGGUAUAUCAAGAAGGGUCGCGAGUUCUAUCUGUCAGAUGGAUGACCUGCAUUCGGCUCUAGAAUCCAUCAUCCAUGCUGAUAUUUGACAUACAUUGUAUGUCGUGGAAUGGAGAUCAACGUCGUCUUUAACUCCUCCGCCCAUUCCGCAUCGACGGCAGACUCGAAAGAAAACGUCAAAUGCUCAGCUUGUCUCUUUGUCAGAGCUCGGCCUCCUAGCCUUCGUCUCGUGAUUGUCGAUGAUCAUCUCAUUCGGUGGUGGCGACCUUCACUGAUUGCUCUGCAUGAUAUUCGGUAUAGCUCGCCUCUAUAAAAUCGUUGAUGGAAGCAGCGCCAAGACGAUGUUCAUCCUCCAUCAGCCCAACAAACCAGUCCGACGAAGGUUGAAGACUAAAAUCAACUGCGCAUGCCAGUCCCAGGGAAUCAUUCUCGACCUACCUUGUUAUCACCUGGGAUAAGCAGACUAUUUGCGUCUGCACUGUCGAUUCAUCACUGCCCAUAGGGCUGUAUACCCGCGGUAUCGCGUUGCAAAUCGACAUUUCCGUCCUUGGUCGAUUAAAAAAGAGGACUACAAAGUCCAAAAACGACUCUCGUAUAUGGAUCUUCAACUGCUCCUGGUUUUAUCCUUUGCCAUUUGGAUUCGAUAACAGUUUGUCGUCACGUGCCUCUGCGUUCGUUGCAUAUCGCGACUCAAUUGGAAGCCAAUCCUUCUUAUGACUGAAGGGCUCGAUUCGCACGUUACUGGUUUGUACCGUCUGAAAUGUAGAAUUCAUACUGUCCUAUAGAACCUACUGGCGACAUCCAGAGGAAGGAGGCAGUUCAGUACUUACCGUUGCUUAAUUCACCUGGAGCGCGUCAAACAUAUUGAAACACUCGCCGAACUCGACCGAGAGAGCAAUAGACUGAUUUCAAUCUGUGUCUUACGAGCGAGCUCGACGGAUCAAAAUCCGUCCCAUAAGAAUAUUUUUUCUGGACGUCUCCUAGGUAGGUGCUUUUGCAACUUACCAGUGUUAACCGGGGACCAGGAUUCGUUUGGAAAAGAUGUAUCUGGUCUAUACAGGACAUCGAGUAUAUCCGGAAUAUGCCAACCAUACGGCUAGUGUAAUAGCCGAGCAUGGGCGUCUCACUAUUGAAUCUCAUUGCCAUACAUGAGUCAUAUUUUGGGGGUUCUCAACUCUAUGACUCGACCAACUACGAAAUAUGAUACAUAUGGUGGACCAUCCUUGAUUUCAGGGGCCUAGGAAGUCCCACCCUCCAAAUCGAGAACAGGGCUGCCUGCAACCCUACCGACUUGUCAAGUGGUUCAUUGCUAACAGAUGUCUCCAUUGAUUGAUGGUCCGCCGGCUGUGCUCGAAGAGGUGUCCCGUAGUCUUGAUUACGAUUCCGGUUGACAACCAAGUAGCCAUCCUCCCAGUUGUCUUGUACGAAGUACCAUUUCAGUUUAUGAGAACAGUAACUUUUGUAUAGAAACAGAGUAGCGAGAGACAAAGGUAUCAUGUCUAGGAUAUAUUGAACUCUUCCAAGGUCUUUGAAAUGGUCACACCUUUUGAUAUUGUAUUUUCUAUCUCCGUAUCAAGUGAAGCUAUACAGGCUUAUUCUACGAUAGGUUAAUAUGGUUUGUGCACCCUUUUCUUCAAUAAGUGAAAAUUAUCAAUCGAGUUGUUAAUUCUAUGACCAGCAGUAUAUUGAAUUCUACGUAUUCAUAAACGUAGUGAAAUUGCAAUUCAAGGCUCAUUUCUUCAAGGCUGUUAUGUUUUUGUGCGUUUGAUUUGAGCCUGAGAGCCCAGGCAUGCACAGCAUCAAUAUUGAUGCCCAUUAGUUACCUAUGCUAUCAAUCAAUUAUCAAUAUAAUCAUCACAAUUUCUCCUUAUCACCAUCAACGCGGCCCCCCUUCACCCAUCGAUAAUAGAUAAUAGAUACGAACAACAUCCUUCCGAGCACCUUCCAGAAACAAGUGGAGACAAUCGGAACGAUCAAAAGCCCCACGCGCACGGGUCCCAUUGAUAAUAGACGUCCGAGUACGUGCUAAAAAAAGAAAACAGCGAGAAUCUGCCGAACCUUCCGAGACGGAAACUGCCCCACCAGCCCCUUUUUCUGUUCGGAUUGAUGUGUUUGUCUGUUUGUUGACAGCACAUCGGCUCAGCCACAGUGUGUGGUACCGUACCCAUUGUUAUCGAUAAGAUAAUCAUAAUACUCUGUAUAAUUUUUUCAAUCGGAUAGUGUACGGAGUACGGAGUAACAUCGUU
rnacentral:lncRNA from 1 species